AGGAUAACAUUUAUUCCUUCCUCUUUAACUGGGAGCUCCAUGUUGGUAUACCCCUCACAUGGUAAAUGAAGUAUCUGCCCCAAAAGUACAGGAUCUAGGCUAAUGUCUAUACCCUUCACUGUGGAUUUCACUGUUUCAUUGCUGUACCCCAAAUUUAGGUAAAACUCUCUGACAAGAUCGACAUAUGUAUUUUCUUUCAAGGAGCAGUAAAAUUUUCAUCCUUGAUCCUUAAUCUUUGAUCCAAUGGUGAACUCUUCUUUUUCAAAAAAUUUGAAAUCAAUAUUUUUUUCGGGUUCUACUUUCCUAUCAGAGAGGGGUACCUUACUAGGGC
rnacentral:lncRNA from 1 species